rnacentral:rRNA from 1 species
AUGAACGCUGGCGGCGUGCCUAAGACAUGCAAGUCGAGCGAACGGACGAGAAGCUUGCUUCUCUGAUGUUAGCGGCGGACGGGUGAGUAACACGUGGAUAACCUACCUAUAAGACUGGGAUAACUUCGGGAAACCGGAGCUAAUACCGGAUAAUAUUUUGAACCGCAUGGUUCAAAAGUGAAAGACGGUCUUGCUGUCACUUAUAGAUGGAUCCGCGCUGCAUUAGCUAGUUGGUAAGGUAACGGCUUACCAAGGCAACGAUGCAUAGCCGACCUGAGAGGGUGAUCGGCCACACUGGAACUGAGACACCGUCCAGACUCCUACGGGAGGCAGCAGUAGGGAAUCUUCCGCAAUGGGCGAAAGCCUGACGGAGCAACGCCGCGUGAGUGAUGAAGGUCUUCGGAUCGUAAAACUCUGUUAUUAGGGAAGAACAUAUGUGUAAGUAACUGUGCACAUCUUGACGGUACCUAAUCAGAAAGCCACGGCUAACUACGUG